rnacentral:rRNA from 1 species
CACGUAGGGUGCGAGCGUUGUCCGGAAUUAUUGGGCGUAAAGAGCUCGUAGGCGGUGUGUCGCGUCGGCCGUGAAAGCUUGCAGCUUAACUGUGGGCGUGCGGUCGAUACGGGCAUCACUAGAGUUCGGCAGGGGAGACUGGAAUUCCUGGUGUAGCGGUGAAAUGCGCAGAUAUCAGGAGGAACACCGGUGGCGAAGGCGGGUCUCUGGGCCGAUACUGACGCUGAGGAGCGAAAGCGUGGGGAGCGAACAGG